rfam:Triticum aestivum genome assembly, contig: Triticum_aestivum_CS42_TGACv1_scaffold_003129_1AL
CAACUACUCCCUCCUUUCCGAAUUACUUGUCUUAGAUUUGUCUAGAUACGGAGAUAUCUAGCACUAAAAUGAGUCUAGAUGCAUCCGUAUCUAGACAAAUCCAAGAUAAGUAAUUCGGAACAGAGGGAGUACCUA